AGUGAACGCUGGCGGUAGGCCUAACACAUGCAAGUCGAACGGCAGCACAGUAAGAGCUUGCUCUUACGGGUGGCGAGUGGCGGACGGGUGAGGAAUACAUCGGAAUCUACUUUUUCGUGGGUGAUAACGUAGGGAAACUUACGCUAAUACCGCAUACGACCUACGGGUGAAAGCAGGGGAGCUUCGGACCUUGCGCGAUUGAAUGAGCUGAUGUCGGAUUAGCUAGUUGGCAGGGUAAAGGCCCACCAAGGCGAGGAUCCGUAGCUGGUCUGAGAGGAUGAUCAGCCACACUGGAACUGAGACACGGUCCAGACUCCUACGGGAGGCAGCAGUGGGGAAUAUUGGACAAUGGGCGCAAGCCUGAUCCAGCCAUACCGCGUGGGUGAAGAAGGCCUUCGGGUUGUAAAGCCCUUUUGUUGGGAAAGAAAAGCAGCAGGUUAAUCCCCCGCUGUUCUGACGGUACCCAAAGAAUAAGCACCGGCUAACUUCGUG
rnacentral:rRNA from 1 species